AUGACCUGGGCUCUUCUCCUCCUCAGCUUCCUCAACCACGGCCCAGGGACGUGGGCUCAGCAUGUCCUGACUCAGCUUCCCACAGUGUCUGGGACUCAGGGACAGACAGUCACCAUCUCUUGUACUGGGACCAGCAAUGACAUUGGGGCAACUAACUAUAUAUCCUGGUUCCAGCAGCAGGAGGGCACAGCUCCCAAAACUCUGAUUAAUAAUGUCAACCGUCGGCCAUCAGGGAUCCCUGAUCGCUUCUCUGGCUCCAAGUCUGGCAACACAGCGACCCUGACCAUCUCUGGGCUCAAGCCUGAGGAUAAGACUGAUUAUUACUGUAUCUCAUAUACAAGUACUCACACUUUCCACAGUAGCUGCUGUACACUAGGAAAAAUUGAAGAGUCUUUGAAUCUAACCUUAACCUUGGAAGAUAUAUCCAAGUUCUAUAAUGAAAAAAACUGUCAUUUUUAA